rnacentral:ncRNA from 1 species
AGACUCGCGCACGUUCCAGGUGCUCGCCCUUUUCGUCCCUGGCGAAAGGGCAGUUCAACGGGAAACAGGGAGCCGGGCCGGCUGCGCGCCGGACAGGCCAACCUGUGCUGCCCCCGCAACGGUAAGCGACCGCGGUGCGCAUGCGCCAGCCACGCCGCUGGCAAGGCCCGAUCCGUCAUCGGAUGCGCGGCCACAUGCCCGCAGGACCGGCCACACGCCACUGAACCGCAGGUUCGGGAAGGCGCCGGUUCCGUGUCGCCAGCCCGGAUACCGGCCUGAACGCGGGCUGCCGCC